rnacentral:misc_RNA from 1 species
GAUGAAGAACGCAGCGAAAUGCGAUAAGUAGUGUGAAUUGCAGAAUUCAGUGAAUCAUCGAAUCUUUGAACGCACAUUGCGCCCCUUGGUAUCCCGAGGGGCAUGCCUGCUCGAGCGUCAUUUCACCACUCAAGCCUGGCUUGGUGUUGGGCGACGUCCUCUUUGGGGACGCGCCUCGAAACGCUCGGCGGCGUGGCACCGGCUUUAAGCGUAGCAGAAUCUUUCGCUUUGGAAGUCGGGGCCCCGUCUGCCGGAAGACCUGCUCGCAAGGUUGACCUCGGAUCAGGCAGGGAUACCCGCUGAACUUAAGCAUAUCAAUAAGCGGAGGA